CUGAACGUGGUCGUUCCACAAUGUGGACUUGCGAGACUAAAGUGGGCAUCACCUGCCUGAUUGUGAUUUGCGGGAGCGCAAACACGGUGGCCUUCGCAGCUGCCAUUCUGCAGUGGGAAGGACAACCAGAAGGGCAUGACGAUAAUGACGCACGCAUGUAAGACGCGGCCCAUCUUCCUCCUGAUCUUCCUGGGCCUGUUCAACGCCGAGCUGCGUGGCCUGAUCCACGUCAAGUACGAAAGGUCCACCGCCGUGAC